rnacentral:lncRNA from 1 species
UAAGGGGCCUAGGUUGUGUUUAGCACAACUGAGAACCUCCUAGUAAAACCCUUGGGUUUUCCUCCUCCUUUUCUUUUCUAAGAGAGAGCAUCAUUCUUCCCCUCCUUUCUCCAAAAAUUUUUGUCUGGUAUAUGAGCCACAUCCACUCAAUUUUUCAAACUCACCAAAGCUAGGUUCUUCCACUAGAUGAUUGAAACAACUAUCUAGCAAGGAAAAUGAGAGAUGAGAUACACACAAAGGGAUAGAUUUUACCAGUGCUUAAAGUAGAGUUUGAAGAAUCAAAUCAUCACAAGUUUGAGCAAAAU